CCAAGAUUCCGAAAUUCCAGAUUCCGUGUUUUACACCUUACCAACAACAUACAUACAUAGUAUAAUGUUGCACAAUUUCCGGUCUGAUCAAGGCUGCCACUCGUAGGGGGAUUCCCCUACAGUAGGGGAUUAUGACAUCUUGUAGGGAGUGGGGAAUACCUACGGGGAGAAAGGGUAAUCUGUAGGGGAGCGUAGGGGAUUUCUUCACGGUUUGAAUUGAAAAAAAAUUGUGUGUCUGUUUAUGGUAUUAUGAAUUACAAAAUGGAACUAGCACUAUUGAACUGCAGGAUAAUCAGGAUUUUUCAUGGAAACAACUAGAAAUUUAGAUUUGAAUUGAAUGUGGAAGCACUGGAAUAUGUGAUAUAAUAACUCCACGUCUCCGGUCUCCACGACAGUGCUUCCAUUUUCAAGGAAAUUUCCUUUUCUAAGGAAAUUCUAGUGUCGAAAAGGAAAAUCUAAGGAAGAGAAAAAAUCUAAGGAAAUCUAAGGAUUUUUUCCCAACAACUUAAAUAUUCAUCCAAGUGCAUUAGUGCAGAAGAAUGUUUCGCUAUUUCUUGAAUUUUUGAGUGAAUUUGAG